CCGCCGCCCUUGGGCAGGCCGCCUUCGGCCAGCUUCAUGCGCAGCCGGGUGAUCUUGUCCUUCGGCACCUGGAUGACGGCGCCGUCGUUCUUCAUUUCAUAGGGAAUGCCCUGGCGUUCCAGAUCCUUGAUGAUCGCCGAGGAGUCUUCAUAGGUGAGGUCGGUGAAGAGGGUGGCCAUCGGCGGCGUGGUGACGCGCAUGAUGACAAAGCCGAAGAAACCGACGAGAGCCAGCGUUACGGCGGG
rnacentral:misc_RNA from 1 species